rnacentral:lncRNA from 1 species
AAUCAGCUGGCCUUGCAGAAUCUUGAACACAGGUGUUGUUUUUUCCUCUGAGAACUUCUUGUCAUACAGGGAUACAAAAAGAACUGCCGGGCUGUUUCUAGACCUUGAAACUUUGUUGAAUCAUUCAUGGUUCACCAAGCACGUUCCAGUUCAUAAAGUACAUGAACUCAAAGCACACAGGGACCUGUCACGCUUCACAAAGUCUUCUAUUGUCAGUACCUAGAACAUCAAUGGCCCUGGGUUAAGAAGAUUUUCUCAGUGGUAAUUGUAAUUGAUGAUGGUGGUGAGGCAUCUUAUAAGGAAUGGGAAUAAAGUAUUUUGUGGAACACAAUCUCAUCACUUUGUACUUGUUACUGGCAUGGGUUUCUUACACAAACAUGCCAUUAUGUUUUGCUGGCACAUUUGCUACCACCAUUUUAUAGUGGAAAAAUGUGAAAUUAAAUAACUUUCUUUGAGAAACUGCAG